GCCAGGCCCAGUAAUGUGGGUCUGUAAUCCUAGCUACACAGGAGGCCAAGGCAGGAGGAUUGCUUGAGCCCAGGAUUUCGAGGCUACAGUGAGCUAUGAUUGUGCCACUGUAUUCCAGCCUGGGCAACAGAGUGAGACUCUGUCUCUA
ensembl:misc_RNA Metazoa_SRP Metazoan signal recognition particle RNA